UGCCAUUCUACACUGGCAGGGCAGAUAUCAUAGUGUUAGAAUUGCAGUUGUCAUCUGCUACAUCAUUCUAUACAGCAGGGCAGAUGCCAUUCUACACUGGCAGGGCAGACGUCAAAGAGUUAGAAUUCCAGCUGCCAUCUGAUAUGCUAUUCUAUACUGGCAGGGGAGACGUCAAAUGUGUUUGAAUUCUGGCUGCCGUCUGGUACGCCAUUCUAUACUGGCAGGGCAGACGCCAAUGUGUUAGAAUUGCAGCUGCCAUCAGGCACGUCAUUCUAUAUGGCAGGGGCAGACGUCACCGUGUCAUAAUUCUGGCUGCCAUCCCUUCUAACAAGCGGCAGGACAUUUUUAUUUAUUUAUUUAUUUUUUUAGUCUGUUACUCUUU